rnacentral:rRNA from 1 species
AUGAAUCACGUCUAUUGCCUGCACGGCUUUCCUGGGGCAAUCAUAUCAGAUCGUGACCCCAUCUUCACAAGCCACUUUUGGCAAGAAUUCUUCAAAUAUCCUGGCACCGGUCUGCCGAUGAGUAUUGGCAAUCACCCACAAACAGACGGGCAGACGGAGUGAGUCAACCAAUGUCUCGAGACAUUCCUCAGGUGCUUCACUGAAGCCUGUCCUCGUCGCUGGAGCUACUGGAUUCCUUUGGCACAAUAUUGGUACAACUCGUCGUUCCACUCAACUAUUGGUAUGUCUCCUUUCCGAGCUAUGUACGGGCACGAGCCCCGGCAAUGGGGGCUCACAACAACCUCGGCCUGCUCUGUUCCCGCUCUUCGCUCGUGGCUCGAUGAAAGGGCUACGAUACAACAUCUCCUACAACAGCAGCUUCACUGUGCUCGCAAUCUCAUGAAACAGCAAGCAGACAAGAAGAGAUCUUUCCGAGCCUUCAAUGUAGGCGAUCAAGUCUUCCUCAAGCUCCAACCUUACAUACAGACGUCUGUGGCAAACAAAGCCAACCACAAGCUCUCGUACUGAUUCUUUGGACCGUAUCGCAUCAUUGCACGUAUCAAUGAAGUCGUCUACAAGUUGCAGCUACCAGAACACUCAAGUGCGCCUUGUCUUCCAUGUGUCGCAGUUGCGGCGUGCACGGAUCCUUACUUCUUCGACUACCGACCUUCCAGAGUGUUCUGA